GGGAUUUAUUCUACUAAGGAAAAAUGGAGAGUCCAAGUGGGGGGCUGGGAAGGGAGGAAGACGCGGUUUACUCGGUCCUUCGCCCUUCUCCCGUGAACAAUGUGAUGUACGUAGCAAGGAAACCAUCUUCAAUGCUGUCAGGGUCCCGCUGAGCCAGAGAGAGACAGCACACAAGCAGGGGGAGCUACAGAGGGAGAGGGAGAAGCAGGCUCCCCACUGAGCAGGGAGCCCAGUGAUGCGGGGCUUGAUCCCAGGACCCUGGGAUCAUGACCUGAGCCGAAGGCAGACGCUUAACUUGACUGAGCCACCCAUGUGCCCCUCGGACAGCAUCUGUUUUGUUCCUUCAGCAUCUACAUGAUGAGACACAAAGAAUAUGGAUCACCAUUCGAUAGUGGUGGAGACGGCAUCGGACCCAGCUGACCCCAGGACCUGCUCUCUUACCCUCCACACAAUUUCGGCAUGUUACUGGCUGGGUCCAUUUAUGAGCGAGUGCUCUUUCAUAUUUAACAGGACUGCCUUCCCUUAGCCCCUCUGUAACCCUGGGGAAUUGAUUCAGCUGCCCACCUGGUAAAUCAAGUAUCCAUUUUUGCAUCCAGAGCUGAUUUCAUAGAAAUCUAAAUACAGUUUACUAGAUUUACAUGUUAACACUAAAAGGAAAAAGUUCCCUGCUUGCCUUUUAGUUGGGGCAAUGCUUUGGUUUUAUGGGCUUGUUUGAGUAAGUAAUUAUUCUGGUAAUGCCAAGGCCUCCUUUAUGGAGUCAUAAAUGCAUCCUGGACAACUUAGAAUAACUAGCAAGCCUUUCCCUUUGAGCCUAGCAGGCAAACACGGCUCAGCUAGAUGUGAGUUGGUUUCCCUGUCCCUGCAGGUUUCUCUUUUUCUCUGGAAACAUCCUAUGAAACCAUGUGAAGGGGGGAAAGAGGAUCAGAUAAUUGGGAUCUUUAAGAUGGUUAUUAUGAAAAAUGUUCUGGAACCAAUUCAAAUACCAAUCAGAAACCACAUUGUUCAACUAAAUCACUUUCAGAUGCCACAUAAGAUACAAAAUACAAUGAUUUCCAGUUUAAAAAUAUAAUGUUCCUUUUAAAAAAACACAGUAUUUUAUUUUAUUAUUUUAAAAAAACAAAAAACAAAACAAAAAAAACCCCGCCUUGGCUGGAAUUCAGGCCCGUCACAGAUGAUGUACAGACAGGCUUUGUGCAGUUCCCUUCAGAUCCGGGGCCUAUAGACCUCAGUGUAAUGUAUUUAAAAUUUCCUUAAAAUGGAUGUGACGGCUGUUUUCUUUGUAUAUUACAGAAAUAUACAGAGUUCAGAGGCUCCGUGGCUACACUUCAGGCAUGUAUGUCAUUAAAGGAAUGAAAAAAAGAU